rnacentral:rRNA from 1 species
UCCCGCCGGCGACCGGCGCACGGGUGAGUAACACGUAUGGAACCUGCCCGCAGCAGGGGGAUAAGCGGAAGAAAUUCCGCCUAAUACAGCAUGACGCCGGGAAGGGACAUCCCUUUCCGGCCAAAGGGGGCGACUCCGGUCACGGAUGGGCAUGCGGCGCAUUAGGUAGUUGGUGGGGCAACGGCCCACCAAGCCGACGAUGCGUAGGGGUUCUGAGAGGAAGGUCCCCCACAUUGGAACUGAGACACGGUCCAAACUCCUACGGGAGGCAGCAG